rnacentral:rRNA from 1 species
UACGGGGGGGGCAAGCGUUGUUCGGAAUUACUGGGCGUAAAGGGCUCGUAGGUGGCCAACUAAGUCAGACGUGAAAUCCCUCAGCUUAACUGGGGAACUGCGUCUGAUACUGGAUGGCUUGAGUUUGGGAGAGGGACGCGGAAUUCCAGGUGUAGCGGUGAAAUGCGUAGAUAUCUGGAGGAAUACCGGUGGCGAAGGCGGCAUCCUGGACCAUUACUGACGCUGAGGCGCGAAAGCUAGGGGAGCAAACGGG